UACGUAGGGUGCAAGCGUUAAUCGGAAUUACUGGGCGUAAAGCGUGCGCAGGCGGUUAUGUAAGACAGAUGUGAAAUCCCCGGGCUCAACCUGGGAACUGCAUUUGAUACAGCACGUCUCGAGUCCGGAAGAGGUGGGUGGAAUUCCUAGUGUAGAGGUGAAAUUCGUAGAUAUUAGGAAGAACACCGGUGGCGAAGGCGGCCCACUGGUCCGGUACUGACGCUGAGGUGCGAAAGCGUGGGGAGCAAACAGG
rnacentral:rRNA from 1 species